rnacentral:rRNA from 1 species
AGAGUUUGAUCCCUGGUUCAGGACGAACGCUGGCCGCGUGCUUAACACAUGCAAGUCGAACGAUGAUGCUUGGUGCUUGCACUGGGUGGAUUAGUGGCGAACGGGUGAGUAAUACGUGAGUAACCUGCCCCUGUCUUUGGGAUAAGCCUGGGAAACUGGGUCUAAUACCGGAUAGGACCCUCCUUUAGUGUGGGGGGUGGAAAGAUUUUUCGGUGUGGGAUGAGCCCGCGGCCUAUCAGCUUGUUGGUGGGGUAAUGGCCUACCAAGGCGUCGACGGGUAGCCGGCCUGAGAGGGUGGACGGCCACAUUGGGACUGAGAUACGGCCCAGACUCCUACGGGAGGCAGCAGUGGGGAAUAUUGCACAAUGGGCGGAAGCCUGAUGCAGCGACGCCGCGUGGGGGAUGACGGCCUUCGGGUUGUAAACCUCUUUCGACAGGGACGAAGCCUUGUAGGUGACGGUACCUGUAUAAGAAGCACCGGCUAACUACGUGCCAGCAGCCGCGGUAAUACGUAGGGUGCGAGCGUUGUCCGGAAUUACUGGGCGUAAAGAGCUCGUAGGUGGUUUGUCGCGUCGUCUGUGAAAUUCCGGGGCUUAACCUCGGGCGUGCAGGCGAUACGGGCAAUACUUGAGUGCUGUAGGGGAGACUGGAAUUCCUGGUGUAGCGGUGAAAUGCGCAGAUAUCAGGAGGAACACCGAUGGCGAAGGCAGGUCUCUGGGCAGUAACUGACGCUGAGGAGCGAAAGCAUGGGUAGCGAACAGGAUUAGAUACCCUGGUAGUCCAUGCCGUAAACGGUGGGCGCUAGGUGUAGGGGUCUUCCACGACUUCUGUGCCGUAGCUAACGCAUUAAGCGCCC